CCAAAGGCUCUUUUAAGAGCCACCCAUACUGUCUUUAAAUGAGCUU
rfam:Danio rerio chromosome 7, GRCz11 reference primary assembly.